rnacentral:rRNA from 1 species
CUGCUGCCUUCCGUAGGAGUCUGGACCGUUUCUCAGUUCCAAUGUGGCCGGUUCAACCUCUCAGUCCGGCUACCAAUCGUUGCCUUGGUGGGCCGUUACCCCUCCAACUAGCUAAUUGGACGCGAGCCCAUCUUAAGGCACCUCAGUUUUGAUAUUAAAACCAUGCGGUUUCAAUAUAUUAUGCGGUAUUAGCACAGGUUUCCCUGUGUUAUCCCCCUCCUUAAGGCCAGGUUGCUCACGCGUUACUCACCCGUCGCCGCUCUCCU